CACUGUCCUACCACUGCCCUCCGGAUGGCGCCAGGAGAAGCCCGCUGUCCUGGAAAUGUGUGCCCGUGAAAUCGCACGCAGACUUUAAAAACCUCCAAACCUCGGAAGAAUGAAGUAAAUUAACCCGCGUCUGUACAGGCUCCGAGGAUGAGUGCAACGGUUUAUUCUUUGAGGAUCAAACUGCCUUUGUCUGCACCACUCAGUUGGAGAGAAGACUACUUCUGGAAUCUUAUCCAGCCUCUUGGUAUUCUGAAUGACUUCUGCUGCCACUCUAAUUAUCAGCCAGGAGGCUUAUUUGUAAUCACCAGCUUUCAACGAUUUAAAUAGGACAGGCCAGCUGAUGCAGAGAAGCUCCUUAUAACAUGUCAGAAGCGCGUUCUCACUUCACCAGUCCAACUGGCAGUCUACAAUGAAAUCUACAAUUUACAGAUCAGUUCAGUAGCUUAGCACAGCCAGCAGGCAAGGCACUGUAAGAAUUAAUCUGUUGUGUGUGCACCGCACCCAAACUUGUUCCUGAGACUUUAGACAUGGGCUUUUCAUUGUCUAUUUGAAUUAAAAUAAAAG